CCGUGCUAGAUGGGGAGGUAGCGGUGCCUUGUAACCUGCAAUCCGCUAUAGCAGGGUCGAUGCUCAGUCGAGGGCGUCCAUUGUGGGGUCUGCUCCGAGAAAGUGAUGUUGAUAAUUGGGUCCCGCGCAAUAGGUACUUGUGAACCCCGUCAGAUCCGGAAGGAAGCAGCGGUAAGCUUGAACAUCUAUGUGCCGCGGGGGUUCCUGAUUUGAGUCAACUACUCGGGUUACGCUUAUAAUGGUAUUUCGAAACUGAGUGCACGG
rnacentral:SRP_RNA from 1 species